ACUCGGAGAAUAAACAGCAAGAAGACAGAACCUCUGCCACUGCCAAACCCCAGAUCCUUAUCCAGUUUUUCCUGGAGCAACAUCCCAUUGACUUCAGUGGGACAUUGACCAAAAUAAGGCUGUCAGCAAUUCCGGUUUUCAGCCUUUCCUCCCUUCCUGUUCCUGCCUCCAGGGCAUGAGGGAUUUGCCCUGUGCAGCAGGUCUGGGUCAGGAGAAGCCCUGCCCUGGCAUGAUGCUGGUCAUCCCAGUACCACAUCCUGACAUUGCUCCCUGCAGGCAGGGGCAAUCCGAGGGGGCACCACCUCAUCCCUAUAUCAGUUUCUGGAGACCUAUAGGAGGGAGAGAUAUGGUUCCUGUGCAGAGAAAGAAAAAAGAAACACAGAAGCUAAUAUGUCUCCUUGUGUGAGGAUGGGAAGACAAAGUAAGGAUGUCUUUUAUUAGAACAGAUCCAGCAAUACUAAUCAAAUCUUCAUUUUCACCUCCUGCUCCAUGAAAAGCACAAGAAAAUGACUGUGAGCUGA